rnacentral:rRNA from 1 species
GACGAACGCUGGCGGCGUGCUUAACACAUGCAAGUCGAACGAUGAAGAAAAGAAUCUACGCUUCGGCAGACAUUCAUUACGGAUUAGUGGCAGACGGGUGAGUAACGCGUGAGCAACCUACCUCUUACAAAGAGAUAGCCCCGGGAAACCGGGAGUAAUACCAUAUAACAUUGUGACGAAGCAUUUCGCUGCAAUCAAAGCUACGGCGGGAAGGGAUGGGCUCGCGUCCCAUUAACCGGGUGGUGAGGUAACGGCACACCAUCGGGACGAUGGGUAACCGGCGUGGGAGGGUGAACGGUCACACUGGAACUGAGACACAGUCCAGACUCCUACGGGAGGCAGCAGUGGAGUGUAUUGCACAAUGGAGGGAACUCUGAUGCAGCGACGCCGGGUGAGUGAUGAAGGAAUUCGUUUCGUAAAACUCUGUUCUAUGGGAAGAAAAGGACGGUACCAUAGGAGAAAGCACCGGCUAAAUACGUG